AGCAGCCGCGGUAAUUCCAGCUCCAAUAGCGUAUAUUAAAGUUGCUGCAGUUAAAAAGCUCGUAGUUGAAUUUCGGGACUAAUAUGUCGGUCGUGCCUCGGUACGUACUGGUAUUUUUGGUUUCUCCCUUCUGACGAACCUUGAUGUCAUUAAUUUGGUGUCUUGGGAAAUCAGGACUGUUACUUUGAAAAAAUUAGAGUGUUUAAAGCAGGCUCACGCUUGAAUACAUUAGCAUGGAAUAAUGAAAUAGGACGUUUGAUUCUAUUUUGUUGGUUUCUAGGAUUGACGUAAUGAUUAAUAGGGAUAGUUGGGGGCAUUAGUAUUCAAUUGUCAGAGGUGAAAUUCUUGGAUUUAUUGAAGACUAACUACUGCGAAAGCAUUUGCCAAGGAUGUUUUCAUUAAUCAAGAACGAAAGUUAGGGGAUCGAAGACGAUCAGAUACCGUCGUAGUCUUAACCAUAAACUAUGCCGACUAGGGAUCGGAUGAUGUUAAUUUUUUAAUGACUCA
rnacentral:rRNA from 1 species